rnacentral:rRNA from 1 species
AAACUAGGAUUAGAUACCCUAUUAUAUUAAUUCUUUUAAAAACUUAGUUAGUAAAUGUAAAACAUUAAAAUUAUAGAAUAUGGCGGUUAUAUAAAAUUUUAGGGGAACUUGUAUAUUAAUUUGAUGGUCCACGAUAAUAUAUACUAAUAAAAUAUAAUAAUUAUUUUUGUAUUGUUGUUUGAAGAUUUUGUAUUAAUAUUAUAAUUGAAAUUUUUUUAAAUGAAAAAGUAAUUCAAAUCAAAAUAAAGUAUUUAUUAGGUAGUUAUGAGUUACAUUAAUUAAAAAUUUAAGUAAAUUAAAAAUUUUAAUAUUUUUAAUAAAUAGGAUUUAAAAGUAAAAUUAAUAAAUAUAUUAAUUUGAAUAUUAUUUAUAUAAUGUACAAAUUGCCCGUCAAUUUCAAUAAAAUUGAAAUAAGUCGUAACAAAGUAAGAGUAUUGGAA